GUUAGGAAUAUUGGACAAUGGGCGCAAGCCUGAUCCAGCCAUGCCGCGUGAGUGAUGAAGGCCUUCGGGUUGUAAAGCUCUUUAGUCCACGAAUAUAAUGACUGUAGUGGAAGAAUAAGCCCCGGCUAACUUCGUGCCAGCAGCCGCGGUAAUACGAAGGGGGCGAGCGUUAUUCGGAAUCACUGGGCGUAAAGCGUGCGUAGGCUGUUUUGUAAGUUGGGAGUGAAAGCCCAGGGCUCAACCCUGGAAUUGCUCUCAAAACUACAAGACUUGAAUCCCGGAGAGGAUAGCGGAAUUGUCAGUGUAGCAGUGAAAUGCGUAGAUAUUGACAGGAACACCAGUGGCGUAAGCGGCUAUCUGGACGGGUAUUGACGCUGAGGCACGAAAGCGUGGGGAUCAAACAGGAUUAGAAACCCUAGUAGUCC
rnacentral:rRNA from 1 species